rnacentral:rRNA from 1 species
UUUGAGCUGAGACGUGAAUACGAGACGCUAAGGCGUCGAAGUAGUGUAUGUCAGACUUCCAAGAAAAGCUCGCACUGUCAUAGGUAAAAAAUGCCUGUACCAUAACCGACACAGGUGGGUAGGUAGAGUAUACUAAGGGGCGCGAGAUAACUCUCUCUAAGGAACUCGGCAAAAUGACUCCGUAACUUCGGGAGAAGGAGUGCCUUAUUUAUAAGGUUGCAAUAACAAGAUCCAAGCAACUGUUUACCAAAAACACAGGUCUCCGCUAAGUCGUAAGACGAUGUAUGGGGGCUGACGCCUGCCCAGUGCCAGAAGGUUAAAGAAGUUGGUUAGCAUUAGCGAAGCUGAUAACUGAAGCCCUGGUGAACGGCGGCCGUAACUAUAACGGUCCUAAGGUAGCGAAAUUCCUUGUCGGGUAAGUUCCGACCCGCACGAAAGGCGUAACGAUUUGGACACUGUCUCGGAGAGGGACUCGGCGAAAUAGACAUGUCUGUGAAGAUGCGGACUACCUGCACCUGGACAGAAAGACCCUAUGAAGCUUUACUGUAGCUUGAAAUUGUUUUCACGUCUUGUACGCGCAGAAUAGGUGGGAGACUAAGAAAGAAUCUCUUCGGGGGUUCUGGAGUCA